rnacentral:lncRNA from 1 species
GGGGGAGAUAACGAGAGUGCCUCAGAUACAGAGAGGGGGGGAGAGGUGGGAGAUGGAGGAUGGAAUAGGAAGGUUAGAGGGAUUAGAGAGGGAGAGGGAGACAGAGAAAGAGGGGAAGAGAGGGAGGGAGGACGGUCGUACAGUACAGCGAAGACAGCUGUACUGGACAGAAGGAUACGAGCACCUCACAGAAUGGCACACGUCAGACCGACGUCAUUAGAUAUGGCCCUCGUUCAUCCCCCGUUUUGUCUCCUUCCAUCCAUCCAUCCAUCCAUCCAUCCAUACAGGCCAACCCCUCUUAUUUUCACUUCACUCCUCCCUCUCUCCUUCCCUCCCUUGCUCCCAGUCCUCUAUUUCUUUCAUCUCUGGCCAGACAUGCCCAACUGCAGCCAAUUAGCAUUUUCUCCCUUUCUCUUUCGUCUUUUCACUCUUUCUCUCCCUCCUCCUCUACCUCUUUUUACCCUCUCUUCUCUCCUCUCUCUAUUUGUUGUGUAAAUUAGAUUUGGGGGCUCUGGACAGAUUUUUGCUCUCUCUUUUAACAUGAAUAAACCUGCUGGCAAUUAAACAUUUAUGGGCCUGGCAUGCCUCUGUUUAUCCCGUCUCACUCCUUCUCCCAGUUACCCUCCCUCUCUUUCUAUCCAUUCACCUCUAACCUUGUUUUCCUCCCCUUUCUCUCUUCUGUCUCUCUCCCUCCUUCUCACAGCUUUCUCUCUUCUGUCACUCUCCCUCCUUCUCUCAGCUUUCUCUCUUCUGUCACUCUCCCUCCUUCUCUCAGCUUUCUCUCUUCUGUCACUCUCCCUCCUUCUCACAGCUUUCUCUCUUCUGUCACUCUCCCUCCUUCUCUCAGCUUUCUCUCUUCUGUCACUCUCCCUCCUUCUCUCAGCUUUCUCUCUUCUGUCACUCUCCCCUCCUUCUCUCAGAUUUCUCUCUUCUGUCACUCUCCCUCCUUCUCACAGCUUUCUCAUUCGGUCACUCACAUUAUCUCCACCACCUCAUCUUUCACCACCUGCUAAACGGGUAUCCUGAUCUCUCUCUCUCUCUCUCUCUCUCUCUCAAAUAGGGGAAUGAUUAGUGAGAACACAUUCAGAUUUUCCUUCCAUGUGUCAUGCCAGUAAAACGCCUGUGUGCCCGCAGCACUCAGGAUGGCUGUGCCAGGGAUGAAGGGGUGUGUGUGAUGAUGAGAGAAAGAGAGAACACAGGGAGAGGUAAAGUAACAGAGUGGGAUAUAAUGUGCAACACUUGCAUAGUAUAUAAUGUGUGGCUUGUGUAGUAUGCACAUCCAACGUGUGUGCACUGUGUAUUAUGUGUACGUGUGGUUAUUGUGUGUGUGUUCUUAGCUGAGGGGAACAGAUGAUUGUUUCUUAUUGGUUGAGGUGUUCGUGUUUGGCACUGUGUGUGUGCAGUGCGAUUGUCGACGUGUGUGUAUGUUGAUUGUCGAGGUGUGUGUAUGUUGAUUGUCGAGGUGUGUGUUGUUGGUCGUGGGAACUCUAAUUCAGCUCUCUGAGCCCAGAUGUGUCGCAUGGUGCAGUGAAACAUGAUGCCCCCCCCCCCCCUUCACCACCCC